UACAGAGGUGCCAAGCGUUGUUCGGAUUUAUUGGGCGUAAAGGGUGCGUAGGCGGUUGUGCAAGUCGGAUGUGAAAUCCCGGAGCCUAACUCCGGAAUGGCAUUCGAAACUGCACAGCUCGAGGUCUGGAGAGGUGACUGGAAUUCUCGGUGUAGCAGUGAAAUGCGUAGAUAUCGAGAGGAACACCAGAGGCGAAAGCGGGUCACUGGACAGAACCUGACGCUGAGGCACGAAAGCUAGGGGAGCAAACGGG
rnacentral:rRNA from 1 species